rnacentral:rRNA from 1 species
GAUGAACGCUGGCGGCGUGCCUAAUACAUGCAAGUCGAGCGAACAGAUGAGGAGCUUGCUCCUCUGACGUUAGCGGCGGACGGGUGAGUAACACGUGGAUAACCUACCUAUAAGACUGGGAUAACUUCGGGAAACCGGAGCUAAUACCGGAUAAUAUAUUGAACCGCAUAGUUCAAUAGUGAAAGACGGUUUUGCUGUCACUUAUAGAUGGAUCCGCGCCGCAUUAGCUAGUUGGUAAGGUAACGGCUUACCAAGGCAACGAUGCGUAGCCGACCUGAGAGGGUGAUCGGCCACACUGGAACUGAGACACGGUCCAGACUCCUACGGGAGGCAGCAGUAGGGAAUCUUCCGCAAUGGGCGAAAGCCUGACGGAGCAACGCCGAGUGAGUGAUGAAGGUCUUCGGAUCGUAAAACUCUGUUAUUAGGGAAGAACAAAUGUGUAAGUAACUAUGCACGUCUUGACGGUACCUAAUCAGAAAGCCACGGCUAACUACGUG